rnacentral:hammerhead_ribozyme from 2 species
GGCGUCCUGGUAUCCAAUCC